UACGGGGGGGGCAAGCGUUGUUCGGAAUUACUGGGCGUAAAGGGCUCGUAGGCGGCCAACUAAGUCGGACGUGAAAUCCCUCGGCUCAACCGGGGAACUGCGUCCGAUACUGGAUGGCUUGAAUCCGGGAGAGGGAUGCGGAAUUCCAGGUGUAGCGGUGAAAUGCGUAGAUAUCGUAAGGAAGACCAGUGGCGAAGGCGGGUCUCUGGACAGUUCCUGACGCUGAGGCACGAAGGUCAGGGGAGCAAACGGG
rnacentral:rRNA from 1 species